rnacentral:rRNA from 1 species
ACAUGGCAGACGGCUGCGUAACACGUUGGAACCUACCCCGAACUCAGGGAUAACCCUCCGAAAGGAGGAGUAAUACCGGAUACACUCGCAGGAGGAAAGCUUUAGCGGUUUGGGAGGGGCCUGCGGCCUAUCAGUUAGUUGGUGAGGUAACGGCUCACCAAGACGAUGACGGGUAGCUGAUCUGAGAGGAUGGCCAGCCACAUUGGGACUGAGAGACGGCCCAG